rnacentral:tRNA from 1 species
GAUUCGCUAGCUCAGCUGGCAGAGCACAACACUUUUAAUGUUGGGGUCCUGGGUUCGAAUCCCAGGCGGAUCA